rnacentral:rRNA from 1 species
GAUGAACGCUGGCGGCGUGCCUAAUACAUGCAAGUCGAGCGAACGGACGAGAAGCUUGCUUCUCUGAUGUUAGCGGCGGACGGGUGAGUAACACGUGGAUAACCUACCUAUAAGACUGGGAUAACUUCGGGAAACCGGAGCUAAUACCGGAUAAUAUUUUGAACCGCAUGUUUAAAAAGUGAAAGACGGUCUUGCUGUCACUUAUAGAUGGAUCCGCGCUGCAUUAGCUAGUUGGUAAGGUAACGGCUUACCAAGGCAACGAUGCAUAGCCGACCUGAGAGGGUGAUCGGCCACACUGGAACUGAGACACGGUCCAGACUCCUACGGGAGGCAGCAGUAGGGAAUCUUCCGCAAUGGGCGAAAGCCUGACGGAGCAACGCCGCGUGAGUGAUGAAGGUCUUCGGAUCGUAAAACUCUGUUAUUAGGGAAGAACAUAUGUGUAAGUAACUGUGCACAUCUUGACGGUACCUAAUCAGAAAGCCACGGCUAACUACGUG